CACAGGCCUGAAGGGAACUUAAAGAAGAGCCCAUCACCUCGGUCUUAGUGAUCAGCGAGUAGAAUGCUGUGGUCUAGGAAAAGUUUGAGCUUAUUGCCUUCCUGGGGACAGCUUGAAAGAUGUCCAGUGCCUCCUGCAUCCCUGGAACAGCCCAGGCCCUCAACCCUGGCAGGCCUUUCAUUCUUUCUUUCAGUCCUGUGAACUCUUGUUCAUUCUUACUGAAAUCCCUUUCAGUGACAUUUAGUCAUCAUCUCAGGUACUGAGUUGGCUAGUAUGAGACCCUUCAUGAUACAAGCAGCAAUGCAAGGAGCUUUCCUGCAUGAAUUAACUGAAAGGGGAUAGCUUCCCAUGAAAUAGGCAGCACUUUUUAGCAGUACCCCAAAUAUAAAGGAGCCUGGGAACAGGGAGGAAGCAAGGCUGCUUUUGUCUGCCUGCUUUUGUUCUUUGCUGAUGAGUGCAUCUACUCUGAUGUCACUGUUACUGCCAUUCUUUGCUGACCCAGAUUCUUCAGCCCUCCAAUGUGGACUAAAUCUUCUUGGCCAGCAGCACCAGAAUGGGACUACUGGAGCAUCUAUUGUUAUGGUUAUGCAGCAAUAGUUCCACAGAGCAUUGUGCUGGUUACAAGUGAGUCUCAGGUCCACUCGGAUUCAAGAGGAGAAGUCAUCAACAGCAACUCCCGUUUUCCACAGCGUGUAACAGAGCCUGCAACACUUUGAGAACACACAAAUAUUGAAGAAAUGUGGAUUAUUUUAAACCAGUUUCAGG